AGGAGAUCAUGGAGGGGACAAGAGCGCCCGUUGCCCCACGAACCGGAUCCGGAAUUCAGAGGCUCACCCGCCCCAACCCCAGCCCCGGAACGUGCGGAACAUACGUUCUGCCCACCCUUUCCACGGUUGGAGCUAUUUUCAAGGACGCAGCUUGAGGUGUUGAGCCCAUCUCUACCGCUUAGGUGGCUGAACCCAGCUUGUGCUUCCUCCAGCCCAGCAUUUCUCAUGAUGUACUCUGCAUAUAAGUUAAAUAAGCAAGGUGACAAUAUACAGCCUUGAAGUACUCCUUUCCUGAUUUGGAAUCAGUCUGUUUGUCCAUGUCCAGUUCUACUGUUGCUUCUUGACCUGCAUACAGAUUUCUCAAGAGCCAGGACAGGUACCUGACAAAAGCAAGUGCUGGAUAAUAUCAUGCUGAGCUACACCACCCAUGACACAUUAUUUUGGAGCAUACGUGGAUUAUUAUAUGGAUUUUUUUUCUUGAAGAGAUUUAAACAAUUCUCCAAAUUUCACAUCCAGUUAGUUUAAUAUGCAUAUGUUUUACAUCACUAGAAGCCACUGAAAUAUAAAUAUUACCAUUUUUAAUGCAUUUCACAAACUUUCAUCACUUUUGAUGUGCAAUAAUGAGAAUAUAUUAGUAAAAAAGUAUCUCUUGAUUACUCCUUUUAUUGCCUGCCAAAUGCAUUAUAAUUUGUCUUUAUAGUUGAAGAUGUGACAUGGAAAAAAGGAGCUCUUCAAUUUUAAAUGGUUGACAGGCUACACGAAACAAUUUAUUCCUGAAUAGAAGUUCUGUUUGAUAUGUGAAUACUGCAAUGAAUAUUUGCCAGCAUCCAUUCAUUGAGAAACUAUUUUAUUGUUACUGUUAAAGUACUUGGGAACACAGCAGUAAAGCC
ensembl:lncRNA